AUGGGCCGAUUGUUGGAAGGGUUUGGGAUUGGUGUGAUUCCUACACAGUUCCUGGUUUCCUCACUUAUGUUAUGUGAAAAUGUGAGGGAAUCACUGGGGAACCGCCAUUGGGGAUGCGGGAAUCACAUGCCGCCGCCACCUGGACGCGCUAGCCACUGCUACCACAGGGGACACGGGCGCACGUGGCAGCCGCUGCUGCCACAGGAGCCACGGGCUCAAGUGGAAGUCGUCAUUGCCUCAGGUCCUUCGAUCGUGCGGCUGGCUUCGAGUGAGUAUGAACCACUUCUAGAUACAUACGUACAUAUGCUUCAAUCUACUUUUAGGAUGCUUUUUUGGCAUUUGUGGUUGAUUCAGGGUGCUGGGAGGGGGGGACUCUGUUUGUCAGGAGAAUCUACAGAAACAUCAAAUGCGUAA
rnacentral:rRNA from 1 species